AGCAGCAGAAGUAAAUAACUAAAUAAAUAAUACCACUAAAUAAGGUGGUUUGAAAGAAUUGCCUUCCAGAGAACUAACAGACCAUGCCUUCAUAUUUGCAUUUGAUAAAAGCAUCAUGUGAAAUAUUGCAAAUGUUGCUACACUAGUCUCAAAUUACUGUCAAAGCAUUCUUAUCAGCUCUAAUGGCAUGCCAAACAAUAAAAGGGUCAUCACCAGUCCAUUUAUGAGAUUGCUAUGUGGUUUGUUCCUUCCUAUAAACAUUUUAAAUAUGUCCACUUGUUCAUUAACAUAAUCUGCUAUACAGUCUACCUUUGUUUCACUAUUGCUAGCAAAAGCUCCCCCAGCUUUCAAUAUUCUGCCAGCAAAAUCCAGGCUAUUACCAAUAAAUUUCUCACCAAAACUGUAUGCUUUUUCAUGACAUAUAGCUUCAGCCCUGAUGGUAACUUAUAUACAACAAUAUAUUUAGUUUUUAAAACAAUAUUUGUCCAAAAUUCCGUCGCUUAUUUGAAGUUCAACUGGAUAUGCAUAAAAUAUAGAUCUGCGUGAUUUCACUUCCAAUUUCUACCAAAUUAUUUUAAUUUUCAAUAGCAUGUAAUACCUUUGACAUAACAGACAGCAAACAUUUUUAUCUGAGUUUUCAUUCAGUUAUAUUACGGCCUUUUCUUACAAAUAUAUAUUCAGUGAGCAUUCAGAAUUGCAACUUGUAGGCCUUUUCCUAUCUGAAGGCACUCAAAUUCCAAGAAGGAGAUCAGCAUGUAGAAGGAUCUUCCAUGUGUGGAUAUAUUUCUUUGGAUUGUGAACCAGAUGCAUAAAUUGGAUGAGCAGCUGGAUGCAGAUACCGUCAACCUACAUUACACGGGUUUCAAUGGGAAGCACAUCUCCCUUCAAUACUCUGGUGCAACUAGUCUUGUGUAACAAUGCAACUAGAACUGCAGAGGAAUAAGGAUUCUUUGGCUCAAUUCCCAUUAGUAUUUCAUAUAUCUUGGAUGAGAAAUAGCCUCUCAGAUACCUUAUGAGGUCAACACUUCUAUUAAUUCCUGUAUUUAGCCUUUAAUUUGCAAAUACUGGCAACAAACAAGGAUGGUUCUGAAUUUUGCCCUUCAGUUCAUUGUAACAUAAUAUAUAUAGGGGUUUUGAGCUCUUCUAGAGGAACUACAAGCUGUUCAUGAAACAUCUUUCUCCUUGUCAGUUCUUCUUCAUUCUUUUUCUGUUGUGAGGGAAAAUAAUGUCUUACGCAACCAUCAGAACUUCUUUCACAAAUAUUUCUGAAGGAUUCCUUAGCUAUAACAACAUAGGCUUUAUAUUGAUUACCACCUUCAUACUGUUCUCUACGCCUUUCUUCCUGGUUCUCAAGACUCUCCAAAGGCCACCCCCUUCGCAUCCUCCUUGAGUGCUUUUGCCUGGCUGGAAUGUGUCCUUGAAGUUUGACAACACCUCUUGCUAGUCCGGAUGGAAGAUGGAGAAAUGUGGAAGUGGGAGGGAGUGUCUGUAGAACCUCUGACUGUUGUGUGGCUGGAAUGUAGCCUAUUGUACAAAGCUAAGAGUCCCAUCCAUUGUCCUGCCCACUCUGGACCCAUUCACCGCAGGCCCACUGCCCUUUGAAAGUUGCCCACGAGGGAAUGCAGUCCUCAGGAUGAAAAAGGCUUCCCAUUCUGCCCCAUGAUCUAGAUUUGGAGUGGACAAUUAGAGGACUUAACACGUCCAGUGGCAAUUAUAUUCUAUAUAAAGCUUUGAGCUUUUUCAGAUAGCUGGUUUGUCUGGUGAUGCUAGUAGUAAAAUGUAGUGGGAAUGAAACAUUUGAUGGAUAGGGCCCUAACUAAGCAUGGGAGGUAGGCACUGCCAUCACUGGUUUUGUGCCAUCUCACUGAUCUUAUCCAUCCAUUUGGGCGUAAUGAGAUCAGCAUGGAGAUUUCAACAGCAGGGAUCAUAACUCUCUACAUAGAAACUUCUUUCAAUAUUGUAUUAUAGAAUUGUAGAUACUUCGAAUGACAUGCUGAAGACUGUAGCACCAGAAUAUGCUAGCAGUCAAGAUAUGGUGUUCACAUUCAAGCUACAAUUCAGUUAUGCUCAACUGUUAAUUACUACUACUGCAUCUUGAUGAAAGAUGAUGUGGUCCUAAAAAGAAACUGGAUUUUCCCUUGCAAGCUCUCUUCCUGGUGGCAUGAGGAGCCAUCUAGAGUCAGUGCUGUCCAUCUGGCCAAAAACCUUCCGCUGAGGGAACCCUAACUGUGCUUUUAUUGAAAUAUUUGCGGAGCUUCCCACCGGUCAGGAAAAUUUGACACUGCCAGGUGGUUUCCAUUACCCUACUUUCUUCCCAUUGGGAAUUUUCCUGAAUAAUUUUUUUCCCCUGUGUGUCCCUUUUUGGCUAAGACGUAUAAGCUGAGUCAUGUUUCUACUUGUGCCAGGAAUAGGCUAGUCCUAGGAAAGGCAUGUUUCUCCUUUAAGAUCAGCAGAUUCAAACUUCAGGAGCAACAGCAUGUUAGAAACCUCAGAAGCUGGUCUUUUUAGGCUUAGGUCUUCUGUUCAAAUAGCAGGAAAGGAAGGUGUAUCUCUGUGGAGCUUUGAUGUUCCCUAUUUUUUUAAACUCAAAACACACACUCAUAUCCUAGCCUCCCUCUCCUCUCCCCUCCCUUUCUUUUUUUGUCUCCCUCUUUUGAGGCGUGCAAAAUGGCUGCCGCCUGGCCAACGUAUCUUCCGUCAGGAAGGGGAAGCGAAGAGGCUGGGACGUGGCUCUCUGGCUAUCUUCGGCCAUGUUAGGACCUAGCUCUCUCAUCUCUGCAUGGCACCAUCUGUAACAAAACCGAGAAAGCCAGUUUGGAAUAAAACCAGAGUUGGAGGCAAAUGUGGGUAGUUUUGGCGUGUGCCGAGUGUUGCAAAUAGGCUGGGUUGCCAAAAUGAGCUAUUGUGUUAUCGGUGUAACAGUACUCGGAAUGUGUGACUGUGCCUGGAACCAGCUGGGAAGGUUUGUUCGCAGUAAGAAAGGGAAACGGUCAGUCAUGUAUGUUUCUUGUAUCAGUUGCUGUUAUGUUCUAGGAUUGUAAACAAUUAUAUGUGGUUGGGCAAUGUGCUUAUCCAUUCUGCAGGGUAGGGUUUAACUUAUUUCAUUUCUUGUAUUUCAUUUCUGAAAAUGGAAUUCAGGUUUUUUUGGGGGGUGCUGAUGGUCGUUCUAUUGUUGGUCUGCAUCUAUCAAUUUAUCUAUAUCUACUUUUUCUCAAAAAUGUUAUCGUCCAGGGAAAUCUAACUUUUAUUUUUAUUUUUUUUAAAAAAGCACUGUGGUGGUUUCUCAGGGCCCAUGAUUUCUUGGUUGUUUAUAGGAAAAGUAGAGCUAGCAACGUAAGGAAAACAUCUUGUAGAAAUAGGUGUGUGUGCCGAAAUAAAUUGCGGGAUUCCAUGACGUGUCAUGCAAGGAGAAUCUGAAGAACAGUUGGAAAGACCUUGGUCUCAUUUUGAAGCGUCUCUCUACAAAUCCGUGUAGAGAGUCUGUUAGUUGAGUCUGUUAAGGAACGUCUAUCUGUUCAAUAGUAGCAAAGAGCAAGUACUAGAGAAGAAAGUGGUCCAUGACUAUUUUAUGAAUGCCUACUGUAAAGGCUUUAAACUUUAAAGGACUGGAUAACUUGAGACUAGCAGCAGCAAUGUAUUUGUAUCUAUAUGUUUCCAUCUAUCUGUCUAUCUAUCUAAUUUCUCUCUCUUUAAGAAAAUUUUAAAAAUCACAAUGGAUUCAUAAAAAAUGGCAAUAACUACAAUUCUGUUAUUAGACAGUCAUUUUUGAAAUGCUUAACAGGGAAUAGAGAAAAUGCCUUUCCCCUUUUAUAUAUGGACAAUGAAUUUCUAUACAAUAGAUAAGUAACCACAAACAUGGCAGGAAAUAGACUAGAACAGCCCUCCUCAGUCUGGUUCCCUCUAGAAGUUUUGGACUACAACUCCCAUCACCCCAUGGCUGUGCUGGCUGGGAUUGAUGGGACUUGUAGUCCGAAAUAUAUGGAGACCAUCAGAUUGGGAAAAGUUGGAGUCGUAGAUGAUAGUCACAGUACAAUAUGGCUUUCCAGAGAAGAGCUGCUUUGAAUUAUGAGGUGCAGGUACACAGUGAAUGCUUAACAAAAAGUACCGUUGCUCAACUUUUCAGUUUGCCAGAAAUAUUCCAAAAUGUGAUACAAUGUAUAGAAAGCUACUUUAUGAGCUACUCUUUAAAUCAAGAUUGCCAGUUCUAGUUUAAAAAGUAAAAAUAAAAUAAAAUACUGUACUUUAUCUCACUAUAUGGUAUCUAGCAUGCUGAAACCAUAUUAGAGCCAUGAAGUUACAUUCUAAGGACUCUCCUGAAAGGGAAUCUACUUAAUAAAGUAAAUUAUGGAUGAUAUGUGGUAUAUAGAGUGGAUCUAAUUUGCAGCUAUGAUGUGUGUUGUGUUUACAUUUACAGUGGAACCUCGGGUUGCGGAUGUAAUCCGUGACGGAGGCACGUCCGCAAUCUGCAGCGUUCGUAACCUGCAGCACCGUGUCUGCGCACGUGCGUGAUGCGAUUUGGCGCUUCUGCGCAUGCGCAAGCAGCAAAACCCGGAAGUAACACUUUCUAGUACUUCCGGGUUUCCUGCAGUACGCAACCUGAAAAGGCAUAACCUAAAGCGUCUGUAACCCAAGGUACCACUGUAUAAAUAUUUUGUACAUGACGGAUGAAGAGUUAGUAAAAAUUUCCAUAUCAAUUUAAGCACGAUGCAGGAACAGUUAAAUUGAUAUGGAAAUUUGUAAUCAUAGUGAAAACCAUUGAAGGUAAUUAAGGAAGUUGUGACAAUAUAUUUAGAGCUGCAGACCUAUAACCAGGGCUGGAUUUAGGUUUGAUGAGGCCCUAAGCUACUGAAGCUAAUGGGGCCCUUUAUAUGUCAGCUGUCCUUUGUCAACAACAAAUUGUCACUGUUUUUUGUGUUGAAUAUAUACUAUAUGGUAAUUUAUGGACCUAAUAGGUAUCUAAAGCCAUUUGCACAUAACAAAAUAUGUAUUUUAUCAAAGUAAUUGCUGAACUGAAAUACAAUUAAGAAGAAGUUUAUCUUAUAUUUUGGAAAUGUACACCCAGGUGGUUUUUUUCCCCUAUAAUUUUUUGGGGGCGCCCCCAAGAGAGUGGGGCCUUAAGUUAUAGCUUGUUUAGCUUACUGUAUACGUAAAUCCAGCACUGCCUAUAACCACUUAUCUGAAGCAAGCAGCAUUAAACUGAAUAGACACAUACAGGAUUUCACUGUAAAUCAGUAAACUCAACUGCUAUAUUCCUUAAUACAGUGAUUGUUUCUGAUAUGAGUCGUUUUUACAAACGUCACAUUAAUCUCCAACUUGAAUUACAGCUGAAGCAAAAGAAGGGGGAAUUUCUCACUUGUGCUGUUCCUAUUUUUAAAACAUAGCAUGAGUUGCAUAGUUUGUCUAAAGAAUUGAGGUGUCAAGCCAUUGAAUAAUCUGUUGAGCUGCCUGCGGAGUUAGGAAAAUAUUUUCCCUCCCAGAAGUGUGAAUGGCAACGGGCCAUUCUAAGGGCAUUUCCAAGUUUCAUUUAUUAAUGCAAUAUGGAUUGUAGCCAACUAAAGUUUACUAAGAGUAGACCCAUUGAAAUUAAUGAACCUAAGUUAGCCAUGCUCAUUAAUUUCAGUAGGACUGCUCUGAGCAGGACCAGCCUAGGUUUCAACUCUAUAUGUGCAAUCGUCACCUGUUUAUUGUUGUGAACCAGAAAUCUUCCCUUCAGGUAGUGCUUCUGUUGCAGUGAUACCGGGUGGUAUCAAAUUCAGAGAUGGCCUAUUGAAUUAAAUGGGCUAAAGUCAGUCUUAUAACUAACUUGUCCACUGAUGUCACUCAUUGCUUUUUCCCGGAUUGCAAAACUUUGUUGCUGGGGAACUGCUGUUCUUCCCCUGACACUACCCUCAUUUCUCAUGCUAUUGCCAUAUGGAAUGUGCCUGUAGCAUUACUGGUGCUGAGUGAAAUUAAUGAGAACCUUAGCAUAUUGUGCACUUCCUAUAAAGGCUUGGUUUAGUUUAAUUCAAUAUGUAUCUCCUUCUAGCCCAGGAAUACUCAUAAAGCCUUUCUAAAAGUGGAAGAUGGACACACAUCUAGGAAGACCACCCCUUCUGCUUCAAAAAUGCUGUCAAGGCAGCUGAUGGUCAUGUUAAAUAAAUGCAUGCAAGCAAAUGCAUGCAGGGCUGUGGAUGGCCAGGUCUUCGUUUUUAUUUCCUCCCCUGCUGAAAAUUCUUUUUUCUUUUUUUUUUUUAAAGAAAGUCAUCAGCAUAGAAAUGGGCAAAUCGGUUAGUCUGGGUAUCUCUCAGUUUCGGAUUUUUUUCAAGCUUAACCUGAGUUCUUCACAUUUCCACAUCAGUUUGUUGCUGUUGUUUUUUCAAAAAUCCUCAUGAAAACUCACCAGCAUUUUAGUGUAAAAGUCUCCUAAUUUUCGUAUGCAAUUAUGCGUGAUAUACAGAAUUCGGCAAAUGGAUAUAUUCCCUCUAAUGUAAUGCAGUUUUGCAGGCAGUUUUCACUGAUGUGUGCAUUUUUUAUGCACACUUUACCACGGUAUAUGAAUUUGUGCAUGCAUUACUUGGCUAGAGUAUUACAUUGCAAAAUUCAGAGAAGAGCGAAUUUCAAAGGAUGCUUGUUUUGGAUUGCAUAUUGUUUCAGAAAGUGCAGAUUAGGUAGAUUCACUAUUAAAUGCAAAUUGAAUCCAACCCUAUAACCCAUUGCAAGGCCAAUACUCACCCCAGUCCAUUGUCCAUUGCUCAGAUAAGGGACAAAAUAUAGCUUUGCCACUUUCAGACUCGAAUCUGCUAUCCUACGGCACCUAGUCCUUAUUUUACAGCUGUACACAUUGUUGUCUGCUGAUCUUUGCUGCCUUUCUGCUUGUGGAUUAAUGACUGCCAAAUCUGUUUAUCUGUAUGCAUUUUGCGAUCAUUUCAGUUUUCAGAUUAUGGCUGUCAGCUGCUUUUAAACAAGGCAUAAAGUGGAUGCAAAUUUUAAGUAAAAGUUUUUUAUAUAUAAAUAUGGGGUUUGGUUUUGUUUUGCUUGCAAGAAAGUUCCUGGAUGUUUUACAGAUUCUUCAUUGCUUCCCUAUUAUUUGGACUUUCAUUCUUACCAUAAAGGAUUGAGCUUGGCAUUUGGCAAACUAAUUGAAAGCAAAAAAAAAUUAAAAUAAUCUGGGUACUUCAACUGGGCACACACAGAAGAAAGCCCAUGACGGUUAAGAUGCUACCGUGUGCUUUAAAUAAAAUAGUUCCAAGUCUAGAUUAGAAAGCACUCUGGAUGCAAACAGUAAUACUGCAAUGUUUUGAAAGUUUGGGUGACUUUAAAAAAUAUUCAUUCCUUUUCGUUUUCCUGCUUUCUAAAGAAAUCAGUUACACAAAUUGGAUAUCAAAUCGCUGCAGCCUUCCAUAGGCAAAUCUAAAUGACAAAAUGGCUGACUGUCAGCCAUUUUGUAGGAAUGCAGACAGCUGACUUAAUGCAGUUCUUUUCUUUCAGGUUGGUUGUCUCCCAAUUUAGCUAUCACUGUGUGGGACUGAAAAGAUUUUAGGAGAGACUGGCACAAAUUUUCUCUCUGGGAAAUGUCCCCGGAUCGUUUUGGCAGCGCCUCUCCAGACUGUGACUACACAAAAGCUGAAAGCAGCGUCCUCUUUUAAAAGAGCUAUUUUGUUCUUUGUUUUUUUUCAGUUUGACAGACUCUCUUAAUAAACCAGAUCAGCACCUGAAGCUUUUAGAAACGUCUCCUAAAACCUUUUUCGGUUUUGAAGUGAGCUUAGGAUUUCACAAUGGCUCAAGUUUGUUUGCAUUCUAAAUUGCUGCCUUAACUACUUUCAGACUUUCACUUUCUGGCAUUGCGAACGCUCAAAUUCUAAGACAUUUGAUCAGAUAUGCUGGUCAUGGACAAUGCUGCUUUGAUACCAAGCCAUAGGGAAAGCACAGCUGUGGCAUCUCUCCCACCCGCCCCCCAUCCCCCAGAAAUGUGCAUGAAACCAGCAUUCAAAGCACCUGAUUUCUUGCUAUGGAUGAUUUUUUUAAAAAACCAUGACAUCUUGAGAACCAUCCCAGUCUGUAUAAUGAAUAGUCUUUGCAAACCGUAUUGCUCCCCCCCCCCACUGCUGUGUUAUACUGCUUGAACUUUUUAGCUGUGGCCAUGGGGAGGGGGGACAGAGAAGAACAUUCUGUUUUGGUCUAUGCUCUUUCUGGAGAUCGGAGCAGAUAUUUCCUCUAAAAUCCACACAGAGAGGGAGGCGGUGAUACCAGCAUGCCGAAGAGCUCUAUUUCUGUACAGAAUGCUAAACUUUACCAAAUAAAUGCAUUAUUUGUGUAUUAGGGGUGGGGUUUAAAAUUUCCCUUGUCCAUACCAUGAAUUUCUUUCCCGCCAGAUGUUCACUAUUUUUAUACGCACACACAAUGCUGGGAUUAUUCUUGCAUUUGCUCUCCUGGAUGCCUUCCUCCCUCAGCAACGUUGUGUGUGCCUAAAACAACUAAACAAGUAGGAAACAAUAAUUUCAGAAGGGUGGGCAGGGGACCAGCCUUGCUGCCUGCUUUUCUGGCAAUUGGCCCGAAAGCAAAACAAAAUCACUUUCUUUUAGCUGCUGGAUUUGCCUCUCCCCACCCCCCACCCCACAACCGUAGUUCCUCCCCAUCCUGUGCUGUACAAUGUAGCAGCCAUCAGAGGAAUGGAAAUGGAGCUUUUAUGUCAUAAUUUCAAGGUUACAGCAGGUCCCUUGCUAUAAGGAGGGCAAGGCAGGGUUGUGGAAGGACAGCCUUUCUCAAGAAUAUUGCAGGGCUGUUCCUGAACAUUCACCUUUCAUCACUUUUAUGUAUCUUUUGUUUAACUAUGCAUACUGUUUACUGGAGCACAAAUCCUCUAAGUGGCUUGCAAGACGUUCUAAGAAGUUUAUUUAAAAUGCC